GGGCUUGUGGUUUAGUGGUAUAAUACUCCCUUAGCAUCUCUAGUACACCUAGAACAGUGACUGGGAGUGGUCCAGGGUUCGAUUCCCUGCAAGUCCA
rnacentral:tRNA from 1 species